rnacentral:rRNA from 1 species
CCUUAUGCAUGCAAGUCGAGCAAAGCUUUUCAGUAGUUUACUACAGAAAAUGACUGAGCGGCGAACGGGUGAGUAACGCGUGAGCAAUCUACCUUAGUUACAGGGAUAGCCCGAGGAAACUCGGAUUAAUACCUGAUAUUCUUUAUUUCUCGCAUGAGAAUAAAAGGAAAGGUCAGCCGAACUAAGAUGAGCUCGCGUUCUAUCAGCUAGUUGGUGAGGUAAAAGCUUACCAAGGCUACGACGGAUAGCUGGUCUGAGAGGACGAUCAGCCACACUGGGACUGAGACACGGCCCAGACUCCUACGGGAGGCUGCAGCAGGGAAUAUUGUGCAAUGAACGAAAGUUUGACACAGCGACACCGCGUGUGGGAUGACGGAUCUAGGUUUGUAAACCACUUUCAGGAGGGAAGAAAAUGACGGUACCUCCACAAGAAGCCCCGGCCAACUACGUGCCAGCAGCCGCGGCAAUACGUAGGGGGCGAGCGUUGUCCGGAUUUAUUGGGCGUAAAGAGCUCGUAGGCGGUUCAACAAGUCGGUCGUGAAAGUUCAGGGCUCAACCCUGAAAUGUCGAUCGAUACUGUUGUGACUAGGAUACGGUAGAGGUGAGUGGAAUUCCGAGUGUAGCGGUGAAAUGCGUAGAUAUUCGGAGGAACACCAAUUGCGAAGGCAGCUCACUGGGCCGCUAUCGACGCUGAGGAGCGAAAGCUAGGGGAGCAAACAGGAUUAGAUACCCUGGUAGUCCUAGCCGUAAACGAUGGAUACUAGAUGUAGGAACUGGAUUGACGGUUUCUGUAUCGCAGCUAACG